GGGUUGUGAGGUUAAGCGACUAAGCGUACACGGUGGAUGCCCUGGCAGUCAGAGGCGAUGAAGGGCGUGCUAAUCUGCGAUAAGCGCCGGUAAGGUGAUAUGAACCGUUAUAACCGGCGAUACCCGAAUGGGGAAACCCAGUGUGAUUCGUCACACUAUCAUUAACUGAAUCCAUAGGUUAAUGAGGCGAACCGGGGGAACUGAAACAUCUAAGUACCCCGAGGAAAAGAAAUCAACCGAGAUUCCCCCAGUAGCGGCGAGCGAACGGGGAGGAGCCCAGAGCCUGAAUCAGCAUGUGUGUUAGUGGAAGCGUCUGGAAAGUCGCGCGAUACAGGGUGACAGCCCCGUACACAAAAGCGCAUGUGUUGUGAGCUCGAUGAGUAGGGCGGGACACGUGGUAUCCUGUCUGAAUAUGGGGGGACCAUCCUCCAAGGCUAAAUACUCCUGACUGACCGAUAGUGAACCAGUACCGUGAGGGAAAGGCGAAAAGAACCCCGGCGAGGGGAGUGAAAAAGAACCUGAAACCGUGUACGUACAAGCAGUGGGAGCCCCACCACCAAAGCAUUCUCUGGUGUUGAAGGCCCUGCAAAGCAGCAUCGCGGUGGCGGAGCGUCGUUUGCGACGCCCAACACACAAAACAAGCGGUGAGUGCUUUGGGGUGGGGUGACUGCGUACCUUUUGUAUAAUGGGUCAGCGACUUAUAUUCUGUAGCAAGGUUAACCGUAUAGGGGAGCCGGAGGGAAACCGAGUCUUAAUUGGGCGUUAAGUUGCAGGGUAUAGACCCGAAACCCGGUGAUCUAGCCAUGGGCAGGUUGAAGGUUGGGUAACACUAACUGGAGGACCGAACCGACUAAUGUUGAAAAAUUAGCGGAUGACCUGUGGCUGGGGGUGAAAGGCCAAUCAAACCGGGAGAUAGCUGGUUCUCCCCGAAAGCUAUUUAGGUAGCGCCUCGUGAAUUCAUCUCCGGGGGUAGAGCACUGUUUCGGCUAGGGGGCCAUCCCGGCUUACCAACCCGAUGCAAACUGCGAAUACCGGAGAAUGUUAUCACGGGAGACACACGGCGGGUGCUAACGUCCGUCGUGAAGAGGGAAACAACCCAGACCGCCAGCUAAGGUCCCAAAGUCAUGGUUAAGUGGGAAACGAUGUGGGAAGGCCCAGACAGCCAGGAUGUUGGCUUAGAAGCAGCCAUCAUUUAAAGAAAGCGUAAUAGCUCACUGGUCGAGUCGGCCUGCGCGGAAGAUGUAACGGGGCUAAACCAUGCACCGAAGCUGCGGCAGCGACACUGUGUGUUGUUGGGUAGGGGAGCGUUCUGUAAGCCUGUGAAGGUGUGUCGUGAGGCAUGCUGGAGGUAUCAGAAGUGCGAAUGCUGACAUAAGUAACGAUAAAGCGGGUGAAAAGCCCGCUCGCCGGAAGACCAAGGGUUCCUGUCCAACGUUAAUCGGGGCAGGGUGAGUCGACCCCUAAGGCGAGGCCGAAAGGCGUAGUCGAUGGGAAACGGGUUAAUAUUCCCGUACUUGGUGUUACUGCGAAGGGGGGACGGAGAAGGCUAUGUUGGCCGGGCGACGGUUGUCCCGGUUUAAGCGUGUAGGUGUGUGUUCCAGGUAAAUCCGGUUCACUUUAACACUGAGGCGUGACGACGAGGCACUACGGUGCUGAAGCAACAAAUGCCCUGCUUCCAGGAAAAGCCUCUAAGCAUCAGGUAACAUCAAAUCGUACCCCAAACCGACACAGGUGGUCAGGUAGAGAAUACCAAGGCGCUUGAGAGAACUCGGGUGAAGGAACUAGGCAAAAUGGUGCCGUAACUUCGGGAGAAGGCACGCUGACACGUAGGUGAAGUGAUUUACUCAUGGAGCUGAAGUCAGUCGAAGAUACCAGCUGGCUGCAACUGUUUAUUAAAAACACAGCACUGUGCAAACACGAAAGUGGACGUAUACGGUGUGACGCCUGCCCGGUGCCGGAAGGUUAAUUGAUGGGGUCAGCGCAAGCGAAGCUCCUGAUCGAAGCCCCGGUAAACGGCGGCCGUAACUAUAACGGUCCUAAGGUAGCGAAAUUCCUUGUCGGGUAAGUUCCGACCUGCACGAAUGGCGUAAUGAUGGCCAGGCUGUCUCCACCCGAGACUCAGUGAAAUUGAACUCGCUGUGAAGAUGCAGUGUACCCGCGGCAAGACGGAAAGACCCCGUGAACCUUUACUAUAGCUUGACACUGAACAUUGAGCCUUGAUGUGUAGGAUAGGUGGGAGGCUUUGAAGUGUGGACGCCAGUCUGCAUGGAGCCGACCUUGAAAUACCACCCUUUAAUGUUUGAUGUUCUAACGUGGACCCGUUACCCGGGUUGCGGACAGUGUCUGGUGGGUAGUUUGACUGGGGCGGUCUCCUCCUAAAGAGUAACGGAGGAGCACGAAGGUUGGCUAAUCCUGGUCGGACAUCAGGAGGUUAGUGCAAUGGCAUAAGCCAGCUUGACUGCGAGCGUGACGGCGCGAGCAGGUGCGAAAGCAGGUCAUAGUGAUCCGGUGGUUCUGAAUGGAAGGGCCAUCGCUCAACGGAUAAAAGGUACUCCGGGGAUAACAGGCUGAUACCGCCCAAGAGUUCAUAUCGACGGCGGUGUUUGGCACCUCGAUGUCGGCUCAUCACAUCCUGGGGCUGAAGUAGGUCCCAAGGGUAUGGCUGUUCGCCAUUUAAAGUGGUACGCGAGCUGGGUUUAGAACGUCGUGAGACAGUUCGGUCCCUAUCUGCCGUGGGCGCUGGAGAACUGAGGGGGGCUGCUCCUAGUACGAGAGGACCGGAGUGGACGCAUCACUGGUGUUCGGGUUGUCAUGCCAAUGGCACUGCCCGGUAGCUAAAUGCGGAAGAGAUAAGUGCUGAAAGCAUCUAAGCACGAAACUUGCCCCGAGAUGAGUUCUCCCUGAGACUUAGAGUCUCCUGAAGGAACGUUGAAGACGACGACGUUGAUAGGCCGGGUGUGUAAGCGCAGCGAUGCGUUGAGCUAACCGGUACUAAUGAACCGUGAGGCUUAACCUUACAACGCCGAAG
rnacentral:rRNA from 1 species